GACGAACGCUGGCGGCGUGCUUAACACAUGCAAGUCGAACGGAAAGGCCUGCUUUCCCUUGUGGAUUCGGGUACUCGAGUGGCGAACGGGUGAGUAACACGUGAGUGAUCUGCCCCCAACUUGGGUAUAAGCCUGGGAAACUGGGUCUAAUUCCCGAUAGGACUGCAGGGUGGUGCCUGUGGUGGAAAACGAUUUUCUAGUGGUUGGGGAUGAGCUCGCGGCCUAUCAGCUUGUUGGUGGGGUAAUGGCCUACCAAGGCGGCGACGGGUAGCCGGCCUGAGAGGGUGGACGGCCACAUUGGGACUGAGAUACGGCCCAGACUCCUACGGGAGGCAGCAGUGGGGAAUAUUGCACAAUGGGCGGAAGCCUGAUGCAGCGACGCCGCGUGGGGGAUGACGGCCUUCGGGUUGUAAACUCCUUUCGACCGCGAGGAAGCCACCUGGUUGGAAGGGUGGUGACGGUAGUGGUAGAAGAAGCACCGGCUAACUACGUG
rnacentral:rRNA from 1 species